CCCGACUGCUAUCAGAGUGGGACUAAGCCAUGCGAGUCAACAUAGCAAUAUGUGGCAUACGGCUCAGUAACACGUAGUCAACAUGCCCAGGGGACGUGGAUAACCUCGGGAAACUGAGGAUAAACCGCGAUAAGUCACUACUUCUGGAAUGGGUAAUGACUNAAAUCUACAUGGCCCCUGGAUUGGACUGCGGCCGAUCAGGCUGUUGGUGAGGUAAUGGCCCACCAAACCUGUAACCGGUACGGGCUCUGAGAGGAGGAGCCCGGAGAUGGGCACUGAGACAAGGGCCCAGGCCCUAUGGGGCGCAGCAGGCGCGAAACCUCUGCAAUAGGCGAAAGCCUGACAGGGUUACUCUGAGUGAUUUCCGUUAAGGAGAUCUUUUGGCACCUCUAAAAAUGGUGCAGAAUAAGGGGUGGGCAAGUCUGGUGUCAGCCGCCGCGGUAAUACCAGCACCCCGAGUGGUCGGGACGUUUAUUGGGCCUAAAGCAUCCGUAGCCGGUUCUACAAGUCUUCCGUUAAAUCCACCUGCUUAACAGAUGGGCUGCGGAAGAUACUAUAGAGCUAGGAGGCGGGAGAGGCAAGCGGUACUCGAUGGGUAGGGGUAAAAUCCGUUGAUCCAUUGAAGACCACCAGUGGCGAAGGCGGCUUGCCAGAACGCGCUCGACGGUGAGGGAUGAAAGCUGGGGGAGCAAACCGGAUUAGAUACCCGGGUAGUCCCAGCUGUAAACGAUGCAGACUCGGUGAUGAGUUGGCUUUAUGCCAACUCAGUGCCGCAGGGAAGCCGUUAAGUUUGCCGCCUGGGGAG
rnacentral:rRNA from 1 species